UUCGGGGUGAGUGGCAGACGGGUGAGUAACGCGUGGGAACGUGCCCUUCAGUUCGGAAUAACCCAGGGAAACUUGGGCUAAUACCGGAUACGUGCGAGAGCAGAAAGAUUUAUCGCUGAAGGAUCGGCCCGCGUCUGAUUAGCUGGUUGGUGGGGUAAUGGCCCACCAAGGCGACGAUCAGUAGCUGGUCUGAGAGGAUGAUCAGCCACAUUGGGACUGAGACACGGCCCAAACUCCUACGGGAGGCAGCAGUGGGGAAUAUUGGACAAUGGGCGCAAGCCUGAUCCAGCCAUGCCGCGUGAGUGAUGAAGGCCUUAGGGUUGUAAAGCUCUUUCGUCCGGGACGAUAAUGACGGUACCGGAAGAAGAAGCCCCGGCUAACUUCGUGCCAGCAGCCGCGGUAAUACGAAGGGGGCUAGCGUUGUUCGGAAUCACUGGGCGUAAAGGGCGCGUAGGCGGCUUUGUAAGUCGGGGGUGAAAGCCUGUGGCUCAACCACAGAAUUGCCUUCGAUACUGCAUGGCUUGAGACCGGAAGAGGUUAGUGGAACUGCGAGUGUAGAGGUGAAAUUCGUAGAUAUUCGCAAGAACACCAGUGGCGAAGGCGGCUGACUGGUCCGGAUCUGACGCUGAGGCGCGAAAGCGUGGGGAGCAAACAGGAUUAGAUACCCUGGUAGUCCACGCCGUAAACGAUGAAUGCCAGCCGUUGGCGAGCUUGCUCGUCAGUGGCGCAGCU
rnacentral:rRNA from 1 species